UAACGCGAAGAACCUUACCCAGGCUCAAAGUGUAGGGGACAACUCCUGAAAGGGAGCCUCUCGUAAGAGUCGCUAUACAGGUGCUGCAUGGCUGUCGUCAGCUCGUGCCGUGAGGUGUUGGGUUAAGUCCCGCAACGAGCGCAACCCUUGUCACUAGUUGCCAGCAAUUCGGUUGGGAACUCUAGUGAGACUGCCUAGGUUAACUAGGAGGAAGGCGAGGAUGACGUCAAGUCCGCAUGGCCUUUAUGUCUGGGGCUACACACGUGCUACAAUGGUCGGUACAGAAGGCAGCAAGACCGCAAGGUGGAGCAAAUCCGUAAAACCGAUCCCAGUUCGGAUUGAAGUCUGCAACUCGACUUCAUGAAGUUGGAAUUGCUAGUAAUGACGUGUCAGCAACAACGUCGUGAAUACGUUCCCGGGUCUUGUACACACCG
rnacentral:rRNA from 1 species